CCUAAUUUCAAUAUGGCGGAUUUGAGCUAGGAUCCGGAUUUGUGCAGGCAUGGUGCAGGGAAGUGCUGCGAAGAACAUUUACGCUCGACUACAAAGAACAAACAACAUCAACAACAAAGAUUGUUUCCUCAAUGGUCUGAAGGAGGACAUGGAGUUGCUGGUGGUGUCAUGAUGCCUUGAAGGUUCACACUGCCACUUCUUGCACUGGUUGGUGUGGUUAGGCUGCUGCACUUGGUACUACAGAUGGAAAAGACCUGAUGUCACUGGGAGAUUGGCAUGGUCCUCCAUUGAUGGCCUUAAGUGGAGUUCUGAAGACAACCUGACUGGCAGCUGCCUGUUCAUCUGGUUUCCUG